rnacentral:rRNA from 1 species
UACAGAGGGUGCAAGCGUUGUUCGGAAUUAUUGGGCGUAAAGCGCGUGUAGGCGGUCUUGCAAGUCGCGUGUGAAAUCCCUCGGCUCAACCGAGGAAGUGCGCGCGAAACUGCAGGACUUGAGUACCGGAGAGGAUGGCGGAAUUCCCCAAGUAGAGGUGAAAUUCGUAGAUAUGGGGAGGAACACCGGUGGCGAAGGCGGCCAUCUGGACGGAUACUGACGCUGAGACGCGAAAGCGUGGGUAG